UAGACAACAGUCCUGAUCCUGGGCA
rnacentral:miRNA from 1 species